CGCACAUUGCGCCCUUUGGUAUUCCGAAGGGCAUGCCUGUUCGAGCGUCAUUGAAAGCCAUCAAGCACAGCUUGGUGUUGGGCGUUUGUCCGGCCGUUUUGGCGCUGGACUCGCCUCAAACCCAUCGGCGGCACGGCGUGGGCUUGCAGCACAGCAGAUGUGUCGUUGCAAGCGCCCGCAGCGGGCCCGCCGCAAAGGCCUCUUUCUCUUGAAUCGACCUCGGAUCAGGUAGGGAUACCCGCUGAACUUAA
rnacentral:misc_RNA from 1 species